rnacentral:rRNA from 1 species
AGGACGAACGCUGGCGGCGUGCUUAACACAUGCAAGUCGAACGGAAAGGCCCGCUUGCGGGUACUCGGGUGGCGAACGGGUGAGUAACACGUGGGCAACCUGCCCUCAGCUCUGGGAUAACUCCGGGAAACCGGUGCUAAUACUGGAUAUCGACUUCUGCCUCGCAUGGGGUGUUGUUGAAAGUUUUUCGGCUGGGGAUGGGCCCGCGGCCUAUCAGCUUGUUGGUGGGGUGAUGGCCUACCAAGGCGACGACGGGUA